GGUUUCCUUUUCUACAUUUGACUUGAUGCUCUCGGUUCUGGAGUCAAUGUUGAGGACUCCCAGGGCAACUCACUUCUGACUGUAUACCACAGUGCUGGGUCUGUCCAGUGGAACAAGACAUUUUCAGAGAUAGUGAAGGGAGUGUGUGGGACACAGCCAUUUUCAUGGAAUCAUAAUUUGCAGGCAAUGUCAGCCUGGUGCUUGAUUAGUUUAUGGGACAGUCUGUCCAAUUUUGGAACAAGCCCAAGGUAUUAUUGAGGGCUUUGCAAGGUCGACAGAGCUGCGUUUGCUGUUGCUGUUUCUGUUGCCUUGGUUGAUGCUGGGUGGUCUGUUUGAUUUCAUUUAUUUUAUCAGACUUUGUAGCGGUUAGCUACAACAGCAUCGCCUUGCUAGGCCAUUUCAGAGUCCAACCAUAUUUAUAGCUUUACAGCCCUACUGUCUCUAUAAUUUUGACUGUGACAGCUCUACGUUUGCAAUCUUAUUUCAGAAUGAACCACCUAGUUCUGUUAAACUUGGCCUUUCUGAUAAGUACAUCAUGAGAAUCUCUUGUUUUUAUUCUGUUUCUAAUAAUAGCCAAGUUCAGUAAUUUUAUCCUGCAUGGUGCACAAGCUGGGAAUGCAGAUACGUCUGGGAUUGUGGCUAGUUUGGAUUGUCCUGCUGUGAGCUGAACAUGAUCUUGUCAAGUCAACAUAAAUCAGACUGUGGCCAGUCUGUCCAAAUUGGGAGCAAGAAACUGGAGACCUCAUUACGCUGUCUCUCUGCUAAGUGAAGAUUGCAGAAGAAAGAAUGUGAGAGAUGCAAGAGAUCAAGAAAUGAAGAACACCUUGUUAGCUUCUCUGUCUCCUAGAUAAAAGAUUGGGAGCAAAAUUGUUUUCCCAAGAUGAAUACUUCAAAUAAUGUUGGAUUUUCUCAAGCAGUUCUGCUGUACAAAUUAGAGUGAAAGUCAUUGCAACAGGAAGCUUCAUGACACAGCUCUCUGCGAGUAGGGCUCUGGUGUCCAAGACAGAAACGUCAGAAAAAUAUCAUUGUGGCUGCAAGUGUCAUAGUUAAUCAGGAUUGUCAAUGGACAAGUGCUCGCCUCAAGCUUCAACACCAGACACUGUAACCUGCGUUUCUUGAUAACCAGGCUCUAUAACCAGGUGUCUUUUGAAGGUGUCGAUUUCUUGCUAGGGUUUCAAAGGUCCUUGUCAUCCUUUGGCGCACUUUCCCAAAUGACCGUUGUUAAUGUGUGAAUCUCGACAGUGAGUGAUGGCAAGCCAUUCACAUUCAGGAGCACCACAGCUGAGCCUGACCUUUCCCUCAUCUGAUGCUCAUGCACAUACACCCAGCCCGAGAGUUCAUCGGCAAUUCAUUCUGAGGGGGAGCACAUACUACUGUCCUGGCUGACUUUAGGUAAUGCAUCCAGGGAUCAAACCAGGCAUCUUUCUGGUCCCUACGGGCUAGUCUUGACUGGAGGGCACAUCCGUCCACUGAAAAUGAGGGAGCUGCAAGUAACCAUUUUGUUCUUAAAUUCAAAAGGCAAAGUGUAGUUGUGAUAUUGUAACAAUGUUGCAUAAAAAUAGACGGACAGUUGCCUAAUACAUUUCUUUCACACACGCGGUAUUUUCGCAAUAAAGCUUU